GGAAGUAAAAGUCGUAACAAGGUAUCCGUAGGUGAACCUGCGGAUGGAUCAUUACCAAUUUUUUAUUAUUAGUUGUAUGAUCACCGCGUCAGCGGUGUGAGUACCAACUAUUAAUGUAAACGUUGAACUAGAUCAUCAGUGCGUGGAUUUGUUUGCUCUCGAGCGGACAGUCCCCACACUGAUACCCUUUUCAUAAUAUACUACUCGUAUAUACUACAAACAAACAAAACAAAAGCUAUAAUAGGACUUAUAUAUAGGCUGAGUGGGUAACAUCCUCAGUCUUUAAACUAAUAACUAUUACAACUUUCAGCAAUGGAUCUCUAGGCUCUCGCAUCGAUGAAGAACGCAGCGAAUUGCGAAACGUAAUGUGACUUGCAAGUCUCGUGAAUCAUCGAAUCUUUGAACGCAUCUUGCACUAUUCGGCUUCCCCGGAUAGUAUGCCUGGUUGAGUGUCUGUGUAUCUCUCCUAUACCAACGUUUGUUGGAAUCUAUAGGGACUUGGGGUCUUUCUCGUCGGAAAUAAUUCAUUAUUCCCGGUGAACCCUUUAAAUGUAGUAAGCUCCCAUCUAUUUCAUUAUCGGAAAUACGUAAACUUGGGGAUGGCGUCGUAGCAAUCACUUUAUUGUAUUGUCGAAGCGCCUAUACAUACCUCUAAUCUACGGUGCUAAUCCUUUAUUAGACUGGGCGAAGCUUAACGACUGGCAAAGUGCCAUGCUCCAUUUAUACGGAGUACACGAACAAUAAUGACCUCAACUCAGGUAGGACAACCCGCUGGACUUAAGCAUAUCAAUAAGCGGAGGA
rnacentral:rRNA from 1 species